ACGGGGUGCAGCAGGCGCGAAAAUUUCACAAUGCCCGCAAGGGUGAUGGAGGGAUUCGGAGUGCCUCUUCUUAUUAGAAGGGGCUUUUGACGACCUUAAAUAAGUCGUUGAAUAAGUGGUGGGUAAUACGGGUGCCAGCCGCCGCGGUAAUACCCGAGCCACAAGUGGUGACCACGUUUAUUGGGCUUAGAGCGUUCGUAGCCGGCUUUACAAGUCUCUAAUGAAAUCUGGCAGCUAACUGUCAGGCGUGUUAGGGAAACUGUUGAGCUUGGGACCGGGAGAGGUCUGGGGUAUUCUUGGGGUAGGAGUAAAAUCCUGUAAUCCUAGGUGGACCAUCGGUGGCGAAGGCGUCCGACUGGAACGAGCUCGACGGUGAGGGACGAAAGCCAGGGGAGCGACCCGGAUUAGAUACCCGGUUAGUCCUGGCCGUAAAUGCUGCUGGUUUGGUGUCGCAUAACUCACGAGGUUAUGCGGUGCCGUAGGGAAGCCGUUUAACCAGCCGCCUGGGGAGUACGACCGCAAGGUUGAAACUUAAAGGAAUUGGCGGGGGAGUACUACAAGGGGUGGAUGCUGCGGUUUAAUUGGAUACAACGCCGGAUAACUCACCAGAAUUGACAGCACUAUGAUAGUCAGUCUGAA
rnacentral:rRNA from 1 species